rnacentral:lncRNA from 1 species
GCUCGUUGAUCUGUGGGCCCGUUCGUCGCGAUCACUACCGCUGGGACCCACCACCCUGUAACCCUAACCCAUCUUCCACGCACGCGUAACUGGGUUGUUGCAACCACCCAUCGACUAGGGCCCCUCUGUCCCUAUAUACGGCGCCCCAUCGUGCCUCAAUCCAAGCACUGAGUCGCACCCCCGUCGUGGAAAGGGAACAACAUCGCCCCCAACACCGAGAGAGAUAGGGGGAUCUGCCGCACGAGCAUCCUGCAGGGAUCACCGCUCUGGGCUGGACAGAUGGUCAAGGCAAGUCUCCAGAGCACGUACGUUCGUGACCUCAUAUGGUGAGGUUGGUGGAUGGGAGCAUGGUUGUUUCUCACCGAAGUUUCCCUCCGCCAAGGAAAGCCCCCUGCCGCGGGCCGGCGUUGCUGCUUCACCACUGUCGGUGAGUCCUCCUUCCACGUGUUCGCCAUCAACUCCUCAGCACGUAGUCGUGAUAGAUUUGGAAUAGGAGCACCAGGGCGUGGAAUUAGUGUACGCCGGCGGGAGAACCGCCGUGGGGCUCGCUUCUGCCGCCGCGGUGGUGUCGUGGGAAGAAGUGAGGAUACCAGCCAUUGAUCCCUUCGCGGACGGAUGAGAUUAUAACAUAGUCUUCUGCUUCGAUCGAUUAGAUCCGGGGCGUUGAAUCGGGAACCGGUGGUUGAGAUUAGAACGUCUUCAUACCCUUUCACGUUUUUAAUCCAGACCACAUAUCUGCUAUCUGAUGGCCCAGGCGCGAUCGGAUAAGAUGGUCGUGUGAGUUUUAUUAGCCCCUAGGUUUUGUCUUAUUCGACCCGCGGUCUGGGUAUGGUCUGGGUAUGCAUAAAGAAUAGAACAAAUAGGUCCAAGUAUUUUCAAAACAGACCCUGUACUUUUUAGAAAUAGAACCCACCAUCCUACUAUUGAUUAAAUGGAUAAAAUAAGUCAAAGGAAAUUCAGAAAAAAACUUUAAUAAUGAUUUUCAAGAGUAAAAUUAAUAUAAGAAAUACCUAUACACUUAGAAAAUUCAUAACUUAUACAUUGUAACUCGGAUUUUAGUGGUUCUCUAACCUACGAUCUCAUAGCGACGUGUAGAAUAUUUUUACACAGUCUAUUCUCAUGUAUGAUGUAAUGUUAAUUUUACCUAUUCCUUGUCUAUCUAUGUGUAUUGGUACGAGUAGAACCGAGAUCAUGUAAAGCCCAAAAUAUAUAUAAGGGAAAAAUAAUAAAAUAAAUAAAUGAACAUGUUUAUAAGUGGGUGUUUUGGGAUUAUGGAACCUUUGGAGAUUAUUUGGUUUUCUUUUAUUUAUGUAUAUUUAAUUAGUGGAAUUAUAUUGGUCAAAUAACAAAGAAAUAAAUACAGAAUUAUGCUAAAGUUUUUGUAUUUUUGCAUUUGUAUUCAAAUUUAUGAGACAAGUUUAACUUUAAAAAAAAUGGAAAGAGAAACAAGAAAGAGAAUGAAAUAGAAAUGGAAAAAGAAUAGACAUUACAAAGAAAAAUAUAUAUAAAUAAUUAUAAUUCUUCAUGCUAGCACUUUAUUUAUGCACUUGAUUUCUAUGACAAAUUUGAAUUCAAAUAUCAGAUUUUGAAAACAAAACAAGAAAAUAGAAACAAAUAAAGAAAAAGAAAAAGAAAAGGAAAAGGAAAAGGAAAAGGAAAACAGACUUUGGCCUCAAACCCUAGCAUACGACCCAACUAACCAUCUCUUUUUUCCACCGUGCAGCCCACUUAACACACCCACGCGACCUAGCACGGACAGAUGGGCCCAGGUCACCAGCGCCUCAUCUGAUCCGCGCGCGGAGCUGCGUUCACCGGUGUGACGCUGGCGCGUGGGGCCAUCUCGUCGGUUCCAUCUCCUACCCUAUAUUGAACUCGUCCUGUCUAUUACGAAGGAGCCGGAGCGAACAUCGCACCAAGAUACAGUCUGAUACCUGUGAUGCUUGCCUAGGAUCCCUCACGGGGUAUAAAACUAAGCCAUUCUCACGCCCGACCCUCCCUCAAACCUAAACGUCGAGACUGCGUCGUCGGUGAUGGGUGCGAGCGAGAGAGAUUGGCGCCGCUUGGCGCCGAAGGGCUGGGUGACCCGCUGUCCGCCGCCGAUCUCUGCCCGUGCGCCCGCUGCCCGGGGGACUUCAUCAUGGGGUCAGGAAGAGUCACCAGAGCCAGUGGUACAUGCACGUGGGGUGUUGUAUGUGCGACAUCGACCGGCAACAGAGGAAUUGCUCGUUGUCGCUUGAUGUUGCCGUAAAUCCGCCUCACAACGUGGAACUUCUCCUGGUAAGCCGGUCUGGGCGUGUGGGCUAGUCAGGGGGCUUCACGGACUCUCAUUGUUGGAGUUCAGGGUCGUAUGGGUCGCGAUGGUGCUCUGUGGCCCCACCAAUUGCUCGCCGAUGCCGAGCAGGCGCCACCGGACCGCCGUGUGCAUGGAUAGCUCACCACUCCAUCUUUGCCUCAGGUAAAUAACAAUCCAAUGCUUUACCCAUGUCUGGAGCAUCGUGUAGAACCAUUCUGGGUUGUGGAUUGAGCACCAGGGCGCCGAGUAGGACGUCUGUGGCGAAAACCCCAUCGUGGGGGCCUACGCGCCGCCAUCCUGCAAUGGUGAGGGAGAAGAAAGCUUUCUAGCCGUUGAUUCCUUGAUGUGCGGCUAGGAUCAUAUCGCUCGCAUAUCCUUUCGUGUAUUCUACGAUAUCCGUUAAGAUCUGAUCAGAUGGUUGAGAGGGGUUGUUUGUAUGGAGCAUUGCAGGCCGUGCAUCUUAGAUCGUACUAUCCACGUCGCUUACCGAUUCAUAAAAUAUCCCGAUCUAAUCUGAACCCUUGAAUCGCGAUCGCACGGUCUGGUUGAUCGAUACCCUUUCGGUCGUAUCCUUUUUGCAUAAGAGCCCCUGAGAUUUCUGAGAAUCAACCCGCCGUCCUGAUGCAGUGGUAGAAAAUUUAAUCUAUGCCCCUAAAACUUGUAGUUUGGCCCCUGAUCUCUUAAAGAAUGGCACCCUCAGUCUAGGACUUAUAGAAUUUAGUAAAAUAAAUCCGAAAAUGGAAUUUUAGUAUAAAAAUAAGUCUGGAAACCUUAGAAACUCAUAACUCCUUUAUUUUAACUCCUUUUUGAUCCAUUCCAGUUGCAUUAAUCUCAUAUUAAUAUUGUUUAUCAUAUAGUAACCUUGUAUUACCAUGAAAUCUAUGAUUAAAAUCUUGUACCUUUGCUUUAUAGUAGACACUUAAACUUUCGGAAAAUCAUAACUUUAUGACCGUAACUCCGAAUUUAGUGGUUCUCGAACCGGUGAUCUCGUUACGUUGCGUAGAACAUUAUUAUGCAUUAUGUUCUUAUGUUUAGUGUGAUGUUAAUUUUUCUUAUACCAUGUUUGUUUGUAUUGCUACGAAUAGCUGCGAGGUUACGAGUCACUUGAAGACCAAGUUGGUACCUGAGAAUCUUGAGUCUAAGGCAAAUUGUGCCCUUGAUCACUUUUCUCCUUACCCAAUAAUGUUCGUGUUAAUCAGUGUGACAUGCUUAGGUUAAUUUGAUGGAACCUAAUAGGUUUCCCUAGAUUUGUUUAUCCCACACCUUGUUUACCACUGAACUUUUGGGUAGUUUUGCUAUUGCUCUACCUGGUUUUGGGAUUAAUUUUACAUUAUGAUCAUGUUCUAGUUAUGUUAUUGUUUUAAUUAUUGUUCAUGACAAGAUCAUUGUGUUAAUUGGAACAUGGAGCUUAACUUGAGAUAUCCGUGCUACCACAAGGGUGGAAUGGGACGCCCUCGGCUGACUAAUUAAAAAGGUAGUAGAGGACUACCUUACCCAAAAGGGGCAAUGGCGGUAGAGGAGCUGCGUAUAGGGAAGUUCUCGGGUCGAUCAUGCUACGAUGGCUUUUCGGACGAGAGAUGCCUAUACUGCCUUUCUCAAAAACCGUAGCGGGUUUUCUGAAGCUAGUGGAACUUUGUAAAGGUCUCAUAGUGGAUCCCUAGCCAUUCACCUCGGAAGUGUCUAAGGGCCUUACAAACCCUGGCUAGACGGGAUACACGACUUGUGGGUAAAGGGCGCAACCUCUGCAGAGUGUAAAACUGGUAUAUCAGUCGUGCUCACGGUUAAGAGCGACUUAGGACUCUCGCAUGAUUAAUUUAUGGAACUAAACUUAAUUUGUCAUAUGCAUUGCAUUGUGGGUGUUGUUAUUAAUUUUGAUCUCAUAAUUAUUUGGGUUGGUAUCUACUUUUGCUUAGUAACUGCUAAUAAAAUUUUGACCAACUCUAAAAGCAAUGCUCAGCUUUAACCAUAUCCUUUGGUAAGUCUUACACUUCAUAUGAGCCCCCACCUUUGGUGAGUUCAUGCACAUUAUUCCCCACAACAUGUUGAGCGAUGAACGCAUGAAUGAUGUCGCGAUGAUGUUCGUGAGAGGUCUAGGUCGUCGUCUCCCAGUCAACUAUGGCUGCUGGAUCGUUGUCUUCAUAUGAUAUAAUUAUUUAAUUAUUUUGUACACAAUUCCCAUAUAUAUUAAAGAUUUGACAUUUGUUUAUUUACCAUGAGUCAUCAUACAGUUGGUGAAGUUCACGCCCGGGUUUGGUGCCCCUAAAACCCGGGUGUGAUAGGUCAUGAAGUACCUAAAGACCAAAUUGGAGAAGUACCUGGAGUUGUACCAAAGGAUUGUUGUGCCCUUGAUCACUUUUCUUUACUUGAUAAUCUUCUCGAUAAUCAUUGUGACAUGCUCAGGUUAACUUGAUGGGACCUAAUAGGUUACCCUAGUAUUGUUCACCCUACACCUUGCAAACAAAUGAACUAUUGGGUAGUCUUGCUAUUGCCAUACCUGAUUUUAGAAUUAAUAUUAUAUCUUAAUUAUGAUCAUGCUCCAUUAUUAUUGUUGGUUUAACUAUUGUUCAUGAUAAGAUUAUCGUGUUAAUUGGAACAUGGAGUGACCAUGUCACACCUGGUUUUAGAAGGCAAACCGAAUGCGAACCAUGUACGCGCCAGGAUCAGCAAUUCACGCACACAACAGUUACAUAACCGGACAUCAUCACAUAGUGCUCGAAUAAUAACAUAAAAGAUAGUAAUAGUCGAUUACACCAUGAUGUCCGAGACAUCCACAUAGUCUUUAACAAUUAUCAAAGUGCGAAAACAAAACGUAGAUACACACGGCCUUCACAGGCAGCCGACUGGGGGUUUGCCGCUAACUCACGCCUAGAACUCAUCGUACUUUUGGAACUCCUGGAGGUCU